rnacentral:rRNA from 1 species
GUAUUUAAAUAUAAUUACACGAAGGUCUAUGAGCUAAUUAAUAAAUUAUUCUAGUAUUAAUUAAUAUAUGUUGCAAUAUAUAUGUAUUAUUAUUAAUUAGGGGUGAUAGGCCUCUCAAAUCGCCCGAUAACUUGUUUUUUAGGAAAUCUAUUAAGUAACUAGUCAACUUUGAAGUGGUGAGAUUUCAAAGCAAUAUCAAAAUAAAAUGUUCAGCAGCUAAUUGUCUAACGGCAAUUGCUUAUUUAUUAUAACAUUAAGUAUUAAUAAUUAUAAAUUUUACUAAAAUAUGCCCUUAUAUUAACUAGAGUAUAGUUAAUGUUAACAUUAGUAUCUAAAUAUAACUGAUAUAGGAACUCGGCAAAUUGUUUCUCAACUGUUUAACAAAAACAUAGCUAAUCGAUUUGUAUGGUUAGUUACGUCUGCUCAAUGACGAAGUUAAAUAGCCGCAGUACUUUGACUGUGCAAAGGUAGCAUAAUCAUUUGGCUUAUAAUUGAAGUCUGGCAUGAAAGAAUUUAUGGGUAACGACUGUCUUUAUUAGUUGGUUAGAAUUUAUUUAAUAGGUGAAAAUACCUAUAGUUAUAGAAUAGACGAGAAGACCCUAGAAAUUUUAUAUAGUAAGGUAAAACACUUAUAGUAUUUUGUUGGGGCGACAGAAUAACACGAAACUUAUUUUAAUAUAUAAGAAUUAUGUAGUAAGUAAAAAUAAAUUACUCUAGGGAUAACAGCAUAAUUUGUGAAAGUUUGUGACCUCGAUGUUGGACUAGGGUUCUUAAUGGUCAAAAGCUAUUAAAGUAAGCUCUGUUCGAGCUAAUAUCCCUACAUGAUCUGAGUCAGACGGUAC